rnacentral:rRNA from 1 species
CGAGGGGCAGCAUGAAAGUUUGCUUGCAAACUUUUGAUGGCGACCGGCGCACGGGUGAGUAACACGUAUCCAACCUGCCUCAUACUCGGGGAUAGCCUUUCGAAAGAAAGAUUAAUACCCGAUGUCAUAGUCCUACCGCAUGAUGGGAUUAUUAAAGAAUUUCGGUAUGGGAUGGGGAUGCGUUCCAUUAGUUAGUUGGCGGGGUGACGGCCCACCAAGACAACGAUGGAUAGGGGUUCUGAGAGGAAGGUCCCCCACAUUGGAACUGAGACACGGUCCAAACUCCUACGGGAGGCAGCAGUGAGGAAUAUUGGUCAAUGGACGAGAGUCUGAACCAGCCAAGUAGCGUGAAGGAUGACUGCCCUAUGGGUUGUAAACUUCUUUUAUAUGGGAAUAAAACGUUCCACGUGUGGAAUUUUGUAUGUACCAUAUGAAUAAGGAUCGGCUAACUCCGUGCCAGCAGCCGCGGUAAUACGGAGGAUCCGAGCGUUAUCCGGAUUUAUUGGGUUUAAAGGGAGCGUAGGUGGAUUGUUAAGUCAGUUGUGAAAGUUUGCGGCUCAACCGUAAAAUUGCAGUUGAAACUGGCAGUCUUGAGUACAGUAGAGGUGGGCGGAAUUCGCGGUGUAGCGGUGAAAUGCUUAGAUAUCACGAAGAACUCCGAUUGCGAAGGCAGCUCACUGGGCUGCAACUGACACUGAGGCUCGAAAGUGUGGGUAUCAAACAGGAUUAGAUACCCUGGUAGUCCACACAGUAAACGAUGAAUACUCGCUGUUUGCGAUAUACAGCAAGCGGCCAAGCGAAAGCAUUAAGUAUUCCACCUGGGGAGU